rnacentral:rRNA from 1 species
UGAAUACGAUAUGCUACGGCAUUGAAGCAGUCUAUGUCAGACUUCCAAGAAAAGCUCGCAAUGUCAUAAACAAAAAGUGCCUGUACCAUAACCGACACAGGUGGGUAGGUAGAGUAUACUAAGGGGCGCGAGAUAACUCUCUCUAAGGAACUCGGCAAAAUGACUCCGUAACUUCGGGAGAAGGAGUGCCUUAUUUAUUAAGGUUGCAAUAACAAGAUCCAAGCAACUGUUUAUCAAAAACACAGGUCUCCGCUAAGUCGUAAGACGAUGUAUGGGGGCUGACGCCUGCCCAGUGCCAGUAGGUUAAAGAAGUUGGUUAGCCUUGCGAAGCUGAUGACUGAAGCCCUGGUGAACGGCGGCCGUAACUAUAACGGUCCUAAGGUAGCGAAAUUCCUUGUCGGGUAAGUUCCGACCCGCACGAAAGGCGUAAUGAUUUGGAUACUGUCUCGGAGAGGGGCUCGGUGAAAUAGACUUGUCUGUGAAGAUGCGGACUACCUGCACCUGGACAGAAAGACCCUAUGAAGCUUUACUGUAACUUGAGAUUGAAAUUGGACUUUAUUUGCGCAGUAUAGGUGGGAGACUUUGAGAAUAUUCUUGCGGGAAUAUUGGAGUCAUCAGUGAGAUACCACUCUUGUAAUGUUAGAUUUCUAACUUUGUAUCAUUAUCUGGUCAAAGGACAGUUUCAGGCGGGCAGUUUGACUGGGGCGGUCGCCUCCCAAACGGUAACGGAGGCGCACAAAGGUUUCCUCUGAACGUGUAGAAAUCGUAUCUAGAGUGUAAAGGCAUAAGGAAGCUUGACUGUGAGACCUACAAGUCGAGCAGGGACGAAAGUCGGUCUUAGUGAUCUGACGGUGCUGAGUGGAAAGGCCGUCACUCAACGGAUAAAAGUUACUCUAGGAUAACAGGCUGAUCUCCCCCAAGAGUUCACAUCGACGGGGAGGUCUGGCACCUCGAUGUCGGCUCAUCGCAUCCUGGGGCGGUAGUACGUCCCAAGGGUUGGGCUGUUCGCCCAUGAAAGCGGUACGCGAGCUGGGUUCAGAACGUCGUGAGACAGUUCGGUCCAUAUCCGGUGUAGGCGUUAGAAUAUUGAGAGGAGCCUUCUUUAGUACGAGAGGACCGAGAAGGACAUACCUCUGGUGUACCAGUUAUCGUGCCAACGGUAAACGCUGGGUAGCUAUGUAUGGAGUGGAUAACCGCUGAAAGCAUCUAAGUGGGAAGCCACCUCAAGAUAAG